GGAGGGUGGAGGGAGGCCUAGGGCGCCCUGGCUCCUGAAGCUGGCUCAUCUUGGCUUUUCCAGCCGGUGCUGCAUGGUGACCUCUCCCAGCCCAUGUGUGGGCGCCCAGGGGCCGAGCCUUGCCUUCCCCACCAUCCCUGGCAGGUGGACCAGAAGCACUGGGGAUAAAAGCUGCUGGAGGUCUCAGUCCUCUUGCCCUUGCCUCUGUCCCUUUGGCUCUGUUCCCCAACCCUCUCCGGUAUUUAAGAAUCAAUAACUCUGGGAUUGAAAUUGAAUGUGGCUAUCAGCCAGCAUGACAUCAAGGCUCAGACAAGUAUCAUCUAUAAGACAGCCAAUGGCAGCUCACAAGUAAGCAAAGAUCACCUCUCCAGGAAGAUUUUGAGGUCUAAGAAAUGAUGGAAAGAAAUUCUUGCAAGCCUAAAGUAUUCCUGCUAUUCCUAGGCUUGUCACACUGAUCUUGCAGGCAAUUUGUGUCUUCCAAAUAUUCAAUGUCAAUGCUCGUGUGCUACCCAAGAAAACCCAAUUAGAGACAUUAAAUACUAAGGAAGAAGGUUUCGUUAGGCCUCUCCAGGGUCAAGCUUUGGAAUGCCACAGAUCAUUGCAAUAUUUCAGAUUAGUUCACCACCCUAAGAAUUAAUUGUUACAUGCUUGGAAGCAAUUGUGAAAAUUAUUCCACCUGCGGGGGGUGGGGGGGGCUUUCUCGGUUGGGGGCUUUAGAGGUGUCGGAAUACCCCUCUAGGCCCCAUGGGCUGGGGGCCCCUAUGGUUAAUUUACAUAAGUCAGGAUAUAGGUUGGGCCACCAGGUUCCCAUGGGAGUAGUUUUUGUUAUUGACCUGACCUUGUCCCCCCCAGACGUUAAUACCUGCCAGGUUAACUUUUUGGGGGCAUGGCGGUUACCUUUGGUGGGG
rnacentral:lncRNA from 1 species